GGGACACGUGGUAUCCUGUCUGAAUAUGGGGGGACCAUCCUCCAAGGCUAAAUACUCCUGACUGACCGAUAGUGAACCAGUACCGUGAGGGAAAGGCGAAAAGAACCCCGGCGAGGGGAGUGAAAAAGAACCUGAAACCGUGUACGUACAAGCAGUGGGAGCACGCUUAGGCGUGUGACUGCGUACCUUUUGUAUAAUGGGUCAGCGACUUAUAUUCUGUAGCAAGGUUAACCGAAUAGGGGAGCCGAAGGGAAACCGAGUCUUAACUGGGCGUUAAGUUGCAGGGUAUAGACCCGAAACCCGGUGAUCUAGCCAUGGGCAGGUUGAAGGUUGGGUAACACUAACUGGAGGACCGAACCGACUAAUGUUGAAAAAUUAGCGGAUGACUUGUGGCUGGGGGUGAAAGGCCAAUCAAACCGGGAGAUAGCUGGUUCUCCCCGAAAGCUAUUUAGGUAGCGCCUCGUGAAUUCAUCUCCGGGGGUAGAGCACUGUUUCGGCAAGGGGGUCAUCCCGACUUACCAACCCGAUGCAAACUGCGAAUACCGGAGAAUGUUAUCACGGGAGACACACGGCGGGUGCUAACGUCCGUCGUGAAGAGGGAAACAACCCAGACCGCCAGCUAAGGUCCCAAAGUCAUGGUUAAGUGGGAAACGAUGUGGGAAGGCCCAGACAGCCAGGAUGUUGGCUUAGAAGCAGCCAUCAUUUAAAGAAAGCGUAAUAGCUCACUGGUCGAGUCGGCCUGCGCGGAAGAUGUAACGGGGCUAAACCAUGCACCGAAGCUGCGGCAGCGACACUAUGUGUUGUUGGGUAGGGGAGCGUUCUGUAAGCCUGUGAAGGUGUACUGUGAGGUAUGCUGGAGGUAUCAGAAGUGCGAAUGCUGACAUAAGUAACGAUAAAGCGGGUGAAAAGCCCGCUCGCCGGAAGACCAAGGGUUCCUGUCCAACGUUAAUCGGGGCAGGGUGAGUCGACCCCUAAGGCGAGGCCGAAAGGCGUAGUCGAUGGGAAACAGGUUAAUAUUCCUGUACUUGGUGUUACUGCGAAGGGGGGACGGAGAAGGCUAUGUUGGCCGGGCGACGGUUGUCCCGGUUUAAGCGUGUAGGCUGGUUUUCCAGGCAAAUCCGGAAAAUCAAGGCUGA
rnacentral:rRNA from 1 species